rnacentral:rRNA from 1 species
UACGGAGGGUGCAAACGUUGCUCGGAAUCAUUGGGCGUAAAGCGCACGUAGGCGGCCCGCUAAGUCGGAUGUGAAAGCCCUGGGCUCAACCCAGGAAGUGCAUUCGAUACUGACGGGCUUGAAUAUGGAAGAGGGUCGCGGAAUUCCCGGUGUAGCGGUGAAAUGCGUAGAUAUCUGGAGGAACACCGGUGGCGAAGGCGGCAUCCUGGACCGGCAUUGACGCUGAGGAGCGAAAGCCAGGGGAGCAAACGGG